rnacentral:rRNA from 1 species
AACGUAGGAGACAACCGUUAUCCGGAGUUACUGGGCGUAAAGGGCGUGUAGGUGGUUUCGUAAGUCUGGCGUGAAAUUUUUCGGCUUAACCGGGAAAGGUCGUCGGAUACUGCGGAACUAGAGGACGGUAGAGGCGUGUGGAAUUCCGGGUGUAGUGGUGAAAUGCGUAGAGAUCCGGAGGAACACCAGUGGCGAAGGCGACGCGCUGGGCCGUACCUGACACUGAUGCGCGACAGCAUGGGGAGCAAACAGG